rnacentral:rRNA from 1 species
CCCUUAGAUGUUCUGGGCUGCACGCGCGCUACACUGAUGCGCUCAACGAGUUUUAACCUUGCCUGGAAAGGUUGGGUAAUCUUUUUAAAACGCAUCGUGAUGGGGAUAGAUUAUUGCAAUUAUUAAUCUUCAACGAGGAAUGCCUAGUAAACGCAAGUCAUCAGCUUGCAUUGAUUACGUCCCUGCCCUUUGUACACACCGCCCGUCGCUCCUACCGAUUGAAUGUUCCGAUGAAUACCAUGGACUGAGAGUAUGAAUGGGUUCGCCUAUUUCUGCUUCUCGGGAAGUGGAGUAAAUCUUAACAUUUAGAGGAAGGAGAAGUCGUAACA